ACGCCUAARGGCAAGCAUGGCUCGCUGGCCCUAAGGCWAAGUGUUGUCCUGUACCACGUAGUUAGGAGUUGCAACGCACACGUGAGAAGCUUCUCCCAAAAGGAAAUAAAUGAGGUUCCCUACUUGUUACCUGGUGUGCCUUUUGCGYGCAGCUUUUUUUCUGUUGCCUGCUGUGGCUUGCUUGGGUCAUGCUGAGAGUGAGGGUAGAGUUUGUUGUGRCUGUCUUCUGUCAGGUCAACUUGCUGUGCGCUUUUGGCACACACAGGCAACAAACAAGACGGAAGGGGCGGGAGCGAUGGCCGUGCUGGCGGCAACAACACAGGCACAGGUGCAAGGGAGCAUGCACAUGAGUUGCUUUUUGUGUGCAGCUUUUUUUCUCUGUAGCCUGCUGUGGCUUGCGCAAGCAUGCUGAGUCAUGCUGAGAGUGAGGGUGGAGUUUGGUGCACAAUGCCUUCUGUCAUGGCCAACUUGCUGUGCGCUUUUGUUACACAUGGGUGAUAAAGGGGACAGGAGGGGUAGGAGAGAUGGCUGUGCUAGAGGCAGCGACACAGGUUGUGGUGAGGAGCAUGACUUGCUGCUUGUGUGCAGCUUUUUCAAUUGAAAUUUUCGCGUCUGCUCUGUUCUGCUCUGCUACAUUUGGGGACAUGGACAGGAUGCUCUCCCCUUGUGUUGGCCCUGCUGAAGAUGGUCUUCGUAUUCCACGCAGGUGAUGGGAGGAAGAAGACUGGGAACAUAAUUCCAAAGAGGCCACCUGCGCCAAAAGCGGGCAACCACGCCUGGCUGGCAAAGCCCUCAGGCAAGUAUUCCUCUACCACUUACAACUAAUUAGAAGUUGCGAUGUGCAUGUGAAAAGCUUCUGCCAUAAGAAAAUAAGAGAGAUUGCAUGCUUGCCACUUGGCUGUGUCAUGUAAAGCCUAAAUAACAGUUUACGUUCCCCACUUUCUUGACCUUCAUAGGAAUGGGAGAGAGGCAGGCGCUCGCGCAGCAGCUGGAGCACAAGCACAGGGAUGUGAGGUCUGCGUUUUUGUGGCAAUUGAUGAUGGGCUGUAUGACAUUGGAAUGAAUCAAAGCGGCAAGUUGGUUUCUCAUUN
rnacentral:lncRNA from 1 species